rnacentral:tRNA from 1 species
GGAGACGUGGCAGAGUGGUCGAAUGCACUGGUUUCGAAAACCAGCAGGGGCGAAAGCUCCUCAGAGGUUCGAAUCCUCUCGUCUCCG